AAUUUUUAGUUAUAUAUGUAACAUAACGGGUAACCUGUGGAUUGAAAACUUCAAUAGUGCUGAUUACAAACUUCAGCAUUCUUCAAAUUAUAUCAGACAAAUGAAAGAAAAGACCUUUAUGGGUUUGAGUUUCAAAUUAUUCACUGUCAAAUUAAAGAG